CUCUAGAGUUAGGUUUUUAAAACCUGUCAUAUACAUGUAUGUACUUCAAUCACCACCCAAGAAAGUUCUCUUACCUUGGAUAUUAUUCUGUCUUCAGGCUGUGGAAUUCCAGCAGUCUUUAUACAGCCAGGAUAUCCAUUAUUAGUGCAUUUUGCUGAGUCUUCAGGGCUUAGAGGCUGAACCCCGGCAGGGGUAUUGCCCGGUGAGCAUAAAAAAAAAAAAAUCUAGGCCUGCUUAAGCAGACUCCUUCCAAACUGCUGUGAAAGACAGAAAAAAAGACUGCCUGAUGGGAAGGGGGAGGAUCUAUUUAUACCAAUUUCAAUGUUCUCUUUCCUGUCCUUUCUGCUGUAAGGGGAGGAGCUAACCCAUGAGUAAAUGUUGUUGUUUUUUUUACAGUUUUUUUCAAUUAUAAUGUGUGCAUAAUUAGUGCAGGUUAAGGAAAGU